rnacentral:rRNA from 1 species
AUAAUGCAUGCUUAUUGCACCACAUGUGUUUUUCUUUGAAACAAACUUGCUUUGGCGGUGGGCCCAGCCUGCCGCCAGAGGUCUAAACUUACAACCAAUUUUUUAUCAACUUGUCACACCAGAUUAUUACUUAAUAGUCAAAACUUUCAACAACGGAUCUCUUGGUUCUCGCAUCGAUGAAGAACGCAGCGAAAUGCGAUACGUAAUAUGAAUUGCAGAUAUUCGUGAAUCAUCGAAUCUUUGAACGCACAUUGCGCCCUCUGGUAUUCCGGAGGGCAUGCCUGUUUGAGCGUCGUUUCUCCCUCAAACCGCUGGGUUUGGUGUUGAGCAAUACGACUUGGGUUUGCUUGAAAGACGGUAGUGGUAAGGCGGGAUCGCUUUGACAAUGGCUUAGGUCUAACCAAAAACAUUGCUUGCGGCGGUAACGUCUACCACGUAUAUCUUCAAACUUUGACCUCAAAUCAGGUAGGACUACCCGCUGAACUUAAGCAUAUCAAAAGCCGGGAGGAA